GGGUCCUCGGUUUGGGGAGGUUGGGGAACAGAGAGGACACUGGGGAGAGGAAAGAUAAAGGGAAAAUCCGGAACACAGAGAUUGCUUCUGGUCUCUGCGGAGGAAGCCAUGCCCCUCCCUGCAGGCGGCCAGAAAAACCCAGGGCGCCCAUAUCCAGUCUGUUAAGGGCUUUGAGAUCUUCCAUUUGGACUCCUUGACGGCCGGUAGAUCAACACCUGUUCAAAAAAUAGCAGCCACCACAAUUCAGUUGUCCCUUACCUGCCUGAGCUGGAAGUCAGUAACCUGGAAAAUGUAAAACAAGAACCCUCAUAGAACUUGGGACAAGAUUUGAAAAAAAUAAAGUCACCCUAUGAAAUGAUCUGUAAAUGGGCUACAGAGGCCAGAGUGUCUCCCACAUUUCAUCAGAGAGAGUAAACCAUGUGUAACCUAAGUGUCACAUACCCAGUUAAUGCUGUCACAAUCGAAGGGUGGGGUCCACAAAGAGUCUAAAACCAGAAGAAUCUGAAUAAGAAUGUUCUAUGAAGCUCCCAGGAACUGUUUCCAGGAACAGGCAACUGAUUCUAAUGACCAGAACCAACACUUAGUCUCAGGGCAGUUAAAUCUUAAUUCAGAUUCACUCACUCAUUCAACAGAUACUUAGUGAAUGCUUACUAUGUUCUAGUCUCUUAAGAUACGUCAGUAAAUCCCUGCCUUCGUGGAGUUUAUAUCCUAGCACACCUAAAUUCUGGAUCUCCGUUAAGAGCAUACAAAGGCCCAUACAUACUCUGAUUCCAAACUCAGCCAGUAGCCUUUCUAUCAUUCAGGGAGCCUCUCAAAUACAUCUACAUACCCAGUAAGAAGCGACUGUCCAAGGCAUAUAACUAGGACUAGUUAUACUAGCUGUACAGUUUUUGUCAAUAAAUUCAUAUCAUGGUUUACAAAUCGGA